UACGGAGGGGGCUAGCGUUGUUCGGAAUUACUGGGCGUAAAGCGCGUGUAGGCGGCUUUGCAAGUCGGAUGUGAAAGCCCACGGCUCAACCGUGGAAGUGCAUCCGAAACUGCAUGGCUUGAGUCUCGGAGAGGAAGGUGGAAUGCUUGGUGUAGAGGUGAAAUUCGUAGAUAUCAAGCAGAACACCUGCGGCGAAGGCGGCCUUCUGGACGAUGACUGACGCUGAGACGCGAAAGCGUGGGGAGCAAACAGG
rnacentral:rRNA from 1 species